AUUGAACGCUGGCGGCAGGCUUAACACAUGCAAGUCGAACGAGUGGCGGACGGGUGAGUAAUGAUUGGGAAUCUAGCUUAUGGAGGGGGAUAACUACGGGAAACAGUAGCUAAUACCGCGUACCAUAGGAUGAGCCCAUGUGGGAUUAGGUAGUUGGUGGGGUAAAGGCUCACCAAGCCGACGAUCUCUAGCUGGUCUGAGAGGAUGACCAGCCACACUGGAACUGAGACACGGCCCAGACUCCUACGGGAGGCAGCAGUGGGGAAUAUUGGACAAUGGGCGAAAGCUGAUGCAGCCAUGCCGCGUGUAUGAAGAAGGUCCUCGGGUUGUAAAGUACUUUCAGUCGGGAGGCGUUACCGACAGAAGAAGCACCGGCUAACUCCGUGCCAGCCGCCGCGGUAAUAC
rnacentral:rRNA from 1 species